rnacentral:rRNA from 1 species
CAAUAGCGUAUAUUAAAGUUGUUGCAGUUAAAAAGCUCGUAGUUGGACCUUGGACCUGGACAGGCGGUCCGCCUCACGGCGAGUACUGUCUUGCUGGGUCUUUCCUCUUGGUGAUCUGUUGUUUCGGCAGCAGGGAACCAGGACCUUUACUUUGAAAAAAUUAGAGUGUUCAAAGCAGGCUCGACGCCGGAAUAUAUUAGCAUGGAAUAAUAAGAUAGGACGUGCGGUUCUAUUUUGUUGGUUUUUGGAAUCGCCGUAAUGAUUAAUAGGGACAGUCGGGGGCAUUAGUACUCACAUGCUAGAGGUGAAAUUCUUGGAUUUUGUGAAGACUAACUUCUGCGAAAGCAUUUGCCAAGGAUGUUUNCAUUAA